UACGGGGGGAGCAAGCGUUGUUCGGAUUUACUGGGCGUAAAGGGCGCGUAGGCGGCGCAACAAGUCACUUGUGAAAUCUCCGGGCUUAACCCGGAGCGGCCAAGUGAUACUGUCGUGCUAGAGUGCGGAAGGGGCUACUGGAAUUCUCGGUGUAGCGGUGAAAUGCGUAGAUAUCGGGAGGAACACCGGUGGCGAAGGCGGCCCCCUGGUUGGAUACUGACGCUGAGACGCGAAAGCGUGGGGAGCAAACAGG
rnacentral:rRNA from 1 species